UGUUUGGUUGGGAGGAAGACGAAUAGAUUACAACCCAAUUUUAUGCGCCCACCGCCAAACAUUAGUUUGGUUGUUUAUAAUCUCUAUGGUAGCCUGCCUUGAAUCCAUUCCUAUUCAGGGAAGAAGCUGUAUAGUCAUUUCCUUUCCCUUACCGCUGAAUAGGCAUUGAAUAGGAUUUUUCUUUCCUCUUUAAUUUUUGCCCUCACCUUUACCCUUCUCCUUUAACCCGAUAGCCCUUCUCACCCAGCCAUAAUCCUUCAUUAUUUCUUCUUUUUCUUUUACUCAGUCGAUACAUGAAGAGAGAAAAAGAAAAAUAGGGAAUUUGUUGAUAAAAUGAUGAGAAAUAUUUUUAUGGAAGGGAAGGGAGGUUUGCAAUGGGUAGUAUUAUUGGAUUUUCUUUCAAUAUCGCCAACCACUGCUAUUCGAUACCAUUGAAACAUCAUUGCUUUUAGUUGGGAUCCAAGUUUGUUGUUGUUGAUAUCCAGUCAAUAUAAUCAUGCUUGACAACGAUAGAGUUCGCUUCUCCUUAUGUGCACUUCUUCAAUCGCACUUCAUGACCAUGAUCCUUUGUUCUCAAUUUUCUCUUGGGUCUCACUCGCAGAUCCAUCACCACAGCCAAAAUCGAUUUCCUAGCUUUCGUUUCUCUUCUCACUGGUUUCCACUUCUCGCCCCGCUGUCGUCAUCGACAACAACACUGGAAGGCUGGAAAGAACGAGCAUCACUUGUGGAAGAAAAGAGAUUCAGCUGGCUCUACACAAAAGGCAUUCAAUCUUGUUAGAAUUACAAAGUCAAAUUGUAUCGCCAAAAAUGAUGGAAGCUUUUUUCCCAGAGAAAAGAAGAAGCAAGAAGAAAAAGGAUUCUUUUGUAAAACCUCAAGACUCUACUGCUAGAGCUGACAGUGGAUCACAGGCAUUUAAUGUUCCACAAUUAGGAUCCAAAACUGUUUCCAGAUGUUUGAAUUCAUCACUGAAGCUUGUAAUGAGCAAUUGUUCUUUUUCUAUUCUUUAACUGUUUUCACAGUGACAUGUGCAUUUCAGUGUUUGAGGUUGGAGUAAUGAAUGAUUGGAGUAACAGAGAUAAAGAUAGGGUUUGAUCUUUAGGAAGUGAGAACCAGGAGACUAAGAAUAGGGUUUUUAUUUUCUAAUGGACCUUUUGUUUAUUUGUUGGUGAUCUAUUAUUUUGGGAAAUGCUUCAUUUGUUAGAAGAAAUGAAUAGAAGCCAAAUCUUGGGUCUUUAGGGUUA